rnacentral:rRNA from 1 species
UACGGGGGGGGUAAGCGUUGUUCGGAAUUACUGGGCGUAAAGGGCUCGUAGGCGGCCAACUAAGUCGGACGUGAAAUCCCUCAGCUUAACUGGGGAACUGCGUCCGAUACUGGAUGGCUUGGAUUUGGGAGAGGGAUGCGGAAUUCCAGGUGUAGCGGUGAAAUGCGCAGAUAUCAGGAGGAACACCUAUGGCGAAGGCAGCUCGCUGGGACGGUACUGACGCUGAGGCGCGAAAGCGUGGGGAGCGAACAGG